rnacentral:rRNA from 1 species
AGAGGGGUGCAAGUGUUGUUCGGAAUCAUUGGGCGUAAAGGGCGUGUAGGCGGGUCAGGUAAGUCAGAUGUGAAAGCCCUGGGCUCAACCCAGGAAUUGCAUUUGAUACUGUUUGACUGGAGUGCGGUAGAGGAUAGUGGAAUUCCCGGUGUAGAGGUGAAAUUCGUAGAUAUCGGGAGGAACACCAGUGGCGAAAGCGGCUAUCUGGGCCGACACUGACGCUGAGACGCGAAAGCGUGGGGAGCAAACAGGAUUAGAUACCCUGGUAGUCCACGCUGUAAACGAUGGGUACUAGAUGUUGGGGGAUUUGACCCCCUCAGUAUCGUAGCUAACGCACUAAGUACCCCGCCUGGGAAGUACGGCCGCAAGGCUA